GACGAACCGUGCGAACGUUAUUCGGAAUCACUGGGCUUAAAGCGCGUGUAGGCGGAUGGCCGCGUCGAGUGCUGAAAGCCCCCGGCUCAACCGGGGGACCGGCCUCGAAACGGGCCGUCUGGAGGGGCGUAGGGGGAGCUGGAACUCACGGUGGAGCGGUGAAAUGCGUUGAGAUCGUGAGGAACGCCCGCGGCGAAAGCGAGCUCCUGGACGCCUGCUGACGCUGAGACGCGAAAGCCAGGGGAGCGAACGGG
rnacentral:rRNA from 2 species